rnacentral:lncRNA from 1 species
CGCUGGGUGAGACAGAGCCCUGGACGGCAGCCGGACACAAGGCGGGAACGCCCCGUCCAUCCGUCAUCACUUCCCCUCCACACUUGCGACUUUCCUGCUUCCUGACCUCUGACAAGGAACUGAACUCCAGCCAGGGUGUUACCUGCGGCGUGGGAGCCUGCCCUCCUCCUGACCGGAGCCCCUGCCAGGCGCAGCCCUGCCACCCCUCCCCGGUUCUCACACGGAACCUCUCCUCACACAGGCGGAGGGAAACUCGCAGCCCUGUGGGCCACAGAGCUGGCGGGCGGGAUGGCCGAGACACCAGCUCCCCGCUCAUUCCACACCAUUCAGGGGCCUCCCUGCCCCUCCUGCCUCAGUUUCUCCACCUGUAAGAUGGGCACGUGGGCAGGUGACAUGCGUGCAUGCCCAUGGGCCCAUGUGUGCCGACCUGGAGUUGGGCCUGGGCCCCGAAAGGCCACCAGGGUGGGUUUGUGUGGCGGGUGCUGAGGUCGAGGCACUCAUCAUGCAUCCGUGAGUCACACGUAUUCCUUUCCGGGAGCACCUGAGUUCUGCCCACCACAGCUGCCCCCUCUUCAAGGCCCUGAGCUUCAGCCCGUCUCCAGGGUCUCCCAGGCCCUCUCGUAGGAGGCCGAGCCCUGGUUUGGGCACCCCCACACCUUCCUCCUUGGGGUGGGGAUCCUGGAUGGGCAGCGGCCCUGCCCGCCCUGGCCACUCCAUGAGCACACCACGAAUGAAGCCAUUCCCUGGCCUUAGGCAAGCAGGCCCUGGACCCAAGAGCCUGCACACAGGACGACGCUGCCGGGACGUGAUUGAAUCCAGUCUCCUCCGGGCAACCGUCUUCCUGGGAGGGAACUUACGGCCGGCUGACCAGGACAGAAAAACGGAAACUCCCCCCACAGUGGUCCAGCCAUAGACGCCUCCACCAGGAAGCCCUCUGGGAAGAAGACGGCCUCUGCGUCCCAGCUCUGUCCAGUGGCCUCCAAGGUCCCCACCCAGCAUCAGCCCUGAGCAUGAGCAGGCAUCGUGUGGGGGGUAAGCCGUUGGCAAGGCCACUUGGCUCUACCUUCAAGACAUACCAGAGCCUAACGCGUCCCGCCGCCUGGUCCCCUCCCGCUGGGACCUGCGCCCACCUCCUCACCGGCCCCUCCUCUGCACACAACCUCUGGAAAACCUUAAUCAGGUCAUAUCCCCGUCUUGGCCAGGCCCCCCGGGCUGCCGUCUCACUCCAAUAAAACUCUUUAUAGUAACCCAUGGGCCGGCCUCCUCCCUCUUCCUCAAUCUGCACCAGCCUCGGUCUCUCACUGUUCCUCAGACUUGCCAG